rnacentral:rRNA from 1 species
AAAGGAAUUGACGGGGGCCCGCACAAGCAGUGGAGUAUGUGGUUUAAUUCGAAGCAACGCGAAGAACCUUACCAGGGCUUGACAUAUAUCGGAAUAUAUUAGAGAUAAUAUAGUCUUUCGGGACCGAUAUACAGGUGGUGCAUGGUUGUCGUCAGCUCGUGUCGUGAGAUGUUGGGUUAAGUCCCGCAACGAGCGCAACCCCUGUUUCUAGUUGCCAGCAUGUAAAGAUGGGAACUCUAGAGAGACUGCCGGUGAUAAAUCGGAGGAAGGUGGGGACGACGUCAAAUCAUCAUGCCCUUUAUGUCCUGGGCUACACACGUACUACAAUGGCUGUUACAGAGGGAAGCAAGAUAGCAAUAUGGAGCAAAACCCUAAAAACAGUCUCAGUUCGGAUUGAAGGCUGAAAUUCGCCUUCAUGAAGCUGGAAUUGCUAGUAAUGGCAGGUCAGCAUACUGCCGUGAAUACGUUCCCGGGCCUUGUACACACCGCCCGU